rnacentral:rRNA from 1 species
GAUGAACGCUGGCGGCGUGCCUAAUACAUGCAAGUCGAGCGAACGGACGAGAAGCUUGCUUCUCUGAUGUUAGCGGCGGACGGGUGAGUAACACGUGGAUAACCUACCUAUAAGACUGGGAUAACUUCGGGAAACCGGAGCUAAUACCGGAUAAUAUUUUGAACCGCAUGGUUCAAAAGUGAAAGACGGUCUUGCUGUCACUUAUAGAUGGAUCCGCGCUGCAUUAGCUAGUUGGUAAGGUAACGGCUUACCAAGGCAACGAUGCAUAGCCGACCUGAGAGGGUGAUCGGCCACACUGGAACUGAGACACGGUCCAGACUCCUACGGGAGGCAGCAGUAGGGAAUCUUCCGAAAUGGGCGAAAGCCUGACGGAGCAACGCCGCGUGAGUGAUGAAGGGCUUCGGAUCGUAAAACUCUGUUAUUAGGGAAGAACAUAUGUGUAAGUAACUGUGCACAUCUUGACGGUACCUAAUCAGAAAGCCACGGCUAACUACGUG